GGGUCCGUAGCUCGGUGGUAAGAGCAUUUGACUGCAGGUCAAGAGGUCACCGGUUUGAACUCAGUUGGGCCCU
rfam:Citrus clementina cultivar Clemenules unplaced genomic scaffold scaffold_4, whole genome shotgun sequence.